CCUACGGGGUGCAGCAGUGGGGAAUAUUGCACAAUGGGCGCAAGCCUGAUGCAGCCAUGCCGCGUGUGUGAAGAAGGCCUUCGGGUUGUAAAGCACUUUCAGCGGGGGGGAAGGCGGUGAGGUUAAUAACCUCAUCGAUUGACGUUACCCGCAGAAGAAGCACCGGCUAACUCCGUGCCAGCAGCCGCGGUAAUACGGAGGGUGCAAGCGUUAAUCGGAAUUACUGGGCGUAAAGCGCACGCAGGCGGUCUGUCAAGUCGGAUGUGAAAUCCCCGGGCUCAACCUGGGAACUGCAUUCGAAACUGGCAGGCUAGAGUCUUGUAGAGGGGGGUAGAAUUCCAGGUGUAGCGGUGAAAUGCGUAGAGAUCUGGAGGAAUACCGGUGGCGAAGGCGGCCCCCUGGACAAAGACUGACGCUCAGGUGCGAAAGCGUGGGGAGCAAACAGGAUUAGAUACCCGUGAGUC
rnacentral:rRNA from 1 species